UUUUUUUUUUUUUUAAUAGUAUUCUCUGAAAGAUCAAGAUGUUGUAUAACAGCUUCUUCAGUAGAGGGGAUAGCCCCAAAUGUUAGUUUUUUCGGUUAUUCUGACACAAAAAGAGGAGGACUGUCUGCAGAGCCAGGUGGCAUGCCACGGCUGUGGCUCACUGUCAGUGGCACAUUUAAGGAGUCCAGCAGAGUGUCAAGCAAGCACUUUUCGCAGGCAGAACGCAGGGUGGUGAGUGCAGAGCUACCAAGCCUGCACAGACACUAACUAGGUGGCAAGCCUCUGUCCCUCAGGGCUGAUGAAGCUGGGGACAGUGCUGGGGGCACAGAAAGAAUCCAUACAUGAUCCAGUGCUGUGAUCCUCAUUUCCCAAAACAGGAAACCUGAGCACAGAGGUUAACCUCCCUGAGGACCCACAGCUCCUAGGCAGCGGUGCUUGCAAUCAAUAUUUUAAAGGCAGGUGCCAUAAGAUUCAACUAUGGUUUUGUUUUCUUUCUCUUUUCUUUUUUUCUUUCUUUUUUUUUUUUUUUUUUCCCUGCUCACAUCUCACAUAUUUUGUGGAAUCAGUUUCCAGAGCAAUCAAAUUUUACCAAAUCAUAAUGGCCAAACACAAUGAGGGGCUCUGGCAGGGAGCGGGGAUUACUAAAAAGGAAAAAAUAAGUUCUAAAUAAACGACGUACAGGGUAGCCCACAGUGCCCAGGACGGCACCCCUUUGAGCACAUUCUAGUGUCCCGUCCCAGACACCCCUCCAUCCCAGGCAAACCAGGACAGCUGGUGGCCAAACCCUUAGCUCACCUUUGAACCAUCCCGAACAACAAACUGACCCACGCCCAAAUGUCCAGAAAGUCCCUGCUGGCGCUCCGACCCGCUGUCCUAAGCUUCAUAGUUCUGCUUUCAAGGGGCAUCGCCUUAACACUCUCCCCCAGAUCCUUGGCCUUUUCGGGGCCCAGAACGCUACGGAAGCCCGGCGGCCGGGAGGAGUUGGGCUCCCGCUCCAUAGCGGCCCCACGGCCAGCACGCGGCCAGGCCUGCAGAGUGCGCAGAGCCCGGCCACCCACCUGCCACCUGACCCAGGAAGCGUAAAGCGAGCUCCCACUUCAUCUUCAUGGAUUCCCAGCCCAGCUGCGUGGUGGUGACUGGAAAGAUGCUGAAGGAUGGGAGGUUGUUUGGAGAGGAAGAUCUGUUCUCAAGCAACAGCAGUGAUGCCAAAAGUUUCGUUAUCAACAGAAGCCUUAAGAUCAAAGGAUGACAGUAAUAAAAAAUGUAUAUCUUUUA